rnacentral:snRNA from 1 species
GGCAGUGAGCAUGGGCUUGUAGACAAUGUGUUACCCCAUUGACGCCAGGUUGAUGGCAUAUCUGGCUGGUUACGCAAGUUCCCCGUUCCUCCUUCACGCCGCAUGUUGCAUCCUCCCAAACAUGGUGGCGCUCGAAUUGAAGAGACAACCAACCCCCUAUGAGGAGAAACCAGUCGUCAGCAAGGGUAUAUGACGUAAGCCACAACCCUGCUAAGACCCUAUAGACAAGCUCCCCAAAUGCCCAGUUAUAGAGAACUAAUAGAUAAUGAGAAAUCAUGUUGUUGUAUUUUGGGAGCAAUAGGUCCGGAAUAAACAAAAUCCUAAGUGAUGUUCUCA